rnacentral:rRNA from 1 species
GCGGCGGACGGGUGAGUAACACGUGGGUAACCUGCCUGUAAGACUGGGAUAACUCCGGGAAACCGGAGCUAAUACCGGAUAGUUCCUUGAACCGCAUGGUUCAAGGAUGAAAGACGGUUUCGGCUGUCACUUACAGAUGGACCCGCGGCGCAUUAGCUAGUUGGUGAGGUAACGGCUCACCAAGGCGACGAUGCGUAGCCGACCUGAGAGGGUGAUCGGCCACACUGGGACUGAGACACGGCCCAGACUCCUACGGGAGGCAGCAGUAGGGAAUCUUCCGCAAUGGACGAAAGUCUGACGGAGCAACGCCGCGUGAGUGAUGAAGGUUUUCGGAUCGUAAAGCUCUGUUGUUAGGGAAGAACAAGUGCAAGAGUAACUGCUUGCACCUUGACGGUACCUAACCAGAAAGCCACGGCUAACUACGUGCCAGCAGCCGCGGUAAUACGUAGGUGGCAAGCGUUGUCCGGAAUUAUUGGGCGUAAAGGGCUCGCAGGCGGUUUCUUAAGUCUGAUGUGAAAGCCCCCGGCUCAACCGGGGAGGGUCAUUGGAAACUGGGAAACUUGAGUGCAGAAGAGGAGAGUGGAAUUCCACGUGUAGCGGUGAAAU